rnacentral:rRNA from 1 species
AGAGUUUGAUCCUGGCUCAGAACGAACGCUGGCGGCAGGCUUAACACAUGCAAGUCGAACGCCCCGCAAGGGGAGUGGCAGACGGGUGAGUAACACGUGGGAACGUCCCCCUCGGUUCGGAAUAACUCAGGGAAACUUGAGCUAAUACCGGAUACGUCCGAGAGGAGAAAGAUUUAUCGCCGAGGGAUCGGCCCGCGUCUGAUUAGCUAGUUGGUGAGGUAAUGGCUCACCAAGGCGACGAUCAGUAGCUGGUCUGAGAGGAUGAUCAGCCACACUGGGACUGAGACACGGCCCAGACUCCUACGGGAGGCAGCAGUGGGGAAUAUUGGACAAUGGGCGAAAGCCUGAUCCAGCCAUGCCGCGUGAGUGAUGAAGGCCUUAGGGUUGUAAAGCUCUUUUACCAGGGAAGAUAAUGACGGUACCCACAGAAGAGCCCCGCUU